rnacentral:rRNA from 1 species
UGGGGAAUAUUGCACAAUGGGCGCAAGCCUGAUGCAGCCAUGCCGCGUGUAUGAAGAAGGCCUUCGGGUUGUAAAGUACUUUCAGCGAGGAGGAAGGCGGUAAGGUUAAUAACCUUAUCGAUUGACGUUACUCGCAGAAGAAGCACCGGCUAACUCCGUGCCAGCAGCCGCGGUAAUACGGAGGGUGCAAGCGUUAAUCGGAAUUACUGGGCGUAAAGCGCACGCAGGCAGUCUGUCAAGUCGGAUGUGAAAUCCCCGGGCUCAACCUGGGAACUGCAUUCGAAACUGGCAGGCUAGAGUCUUGUAGAGGGGGGUAGAAUUCCAGGUGUAGCGGUGAAAUGCGUAGAGAUCUGGAGGAAUACCGGUGGCGAAGGCGGCCCCCUGGACAAAGACUGACGCUCAGGUGCGAAAGCGUGGGGAGCAAACA